CCUACGGGAGGCAGCAGUGAGGAAUAUUGGUCAAUGGGCGGAAGCCUGAACCAGCCAAGUAGCGUGCAGGAUGACGGCCCUACGGGUUGUAAACUGCUUUUAUACGGGAAUAACGCGCCUUACGUGUAGGGCUUUGCAUGUACCGUAUGAAUAAGGACCGGCUAAUUCCGUCCCAGCAGCCGCGGUAAUACGGAAGGUCCGGGCGUUAUCCGGAUUUAUUGGGUUUAAAGGGAGCGUAGGUGGCAUGUCAAGCGUGCUGUGAAAUGUCCGGGCUCAACCCGGGCCUUGCAGCGCGAACUGGCGUGCUUGAGUCCGCGGAAGGCAGGCGGAAUUCGUCGUGUAGCGGUGGAAUGCUUAGAUAUGACGAAGAACCCCGAUUGCGAAGGCAGCUUGCUGCAGCGGAACUGACGCUGAUGCUCGAAAGCGCGGGUAUCGAACAGGAUUAGAUACCCUUGUAGUC
rnacentral:rRNA from 1 species